rnacentral:rRNA from 1 species
CGUAGGGGGCUAGCGUUGUCCGGAAUCAUUGGGCGUAAAGCGCGUGUAGGCGGUCCGGUAAGUCCGCUGUGAAAGUCGGGGGCUCAACCCUCGGAUGCCGGUGGAUACUGUCGGGCUUGAGUACGGAAGAGGCGAGUGGAAUUCCUGGUGUAGCGGUGAAAUGCGCAGAUAUCAGGAGGAACACCAAUUGCGAAGGCAGCUCGCUGGGACGUUACUGACGCUGAGACGCGAAAGCGUGGGGAGCAAACAGG